AUAAAUCAAAUCCUAAAUAUAUUAUUUGUUCUUGACCAACGUUUGUGGCUAUCUUGAUCAAUGGUUUCUUUCAAUGCCAUUUGAUCCCGGAAACACCACAUAUAUUA